rnacentral:rRNA from 1 species
UACGGAGGGUGCAAGCGUUAUCCGGAUUUAUUGGGUUUAAAGGGUCCGUAGGCGGAUCUGUAAGUCAGUGGUGAAAUCUCACAGCUUAACUGUGAAACUGCCAUUGAUACUGCAGGUCUUGAGUAAGGUAGAAGUAGCUGGAAUAAGUAGUGUAGCGGUGAAAUGCAUAGAUAUUACUUAGAACACCAAUUGCGAAGGCAGGUUACUAUGUCUUAACUGACGCUGAUGGACGAAAGCGUGGGGAGCGAACAGGAUUAGAUACCCUGGUAGUCCACGCCGUAAACGAUGCUAACUCGUUUUUGGGUUUUCGGAUUCAGAGACUAAGCGAAAGUGAUAAGUUAGCCACCUGGGGAGUACGUUCGCAAGAAUGAA